CCUACGGGAGGCAGCAGUCGAGAAUCAUUCACAAUGGGGGAAACCCUGAUGGUGCGACGCCGCGUGGGGGAAUGAAGGUCUUCGAUUGUAAACCCCUGGCAUUGGGGAGCAAAUUAAAAAGAUAGUACCACAAGAGGAAGAGACGGCUAACUCUGGGCCAGCAGCCGCCGGAAUACAGGGGUCUCAAGCGUUGUUCGGAAUCACUGGGCGUAAAGCGUGGGGAGGCUGUUUCGUAAGUCGUGUGUGAAAGGCGCGGGCCCAACCCGCGGACGGCACAUGAUACUGCGAGACUAGAGUAAUGGAGGGGGAACCGGAAUUCUCGGUGUAGCAGUGAAAUGCGUAGAUAUCGAGAGGAACACUCGUGGCGAAGGCGGGUUCCUGGACAUUAACUGACGCUGAGGCACGAAGGCCAGGGGAGCGAAAGGGAUUAGAUACCCCGGUAGUC
rnacentral:rRNA from 1 species